UAAUACGGAGGGUGCGAGCGUUAUCCGGAAUCACUGGGUUUAAAGGGUGCGUAGGCGGCCGGAUAAGUCAGUUGUGAAAUCGCUGGGCUCAACCCAUGCAAUUGCGAUUGAUACUGUCCGUGCUUGAAACAGGUUGAGGUAAGCGGAAUGUGGCAUGUAGCGGUGAAAUGCAUAGAUAUGCCAUAGAACACCGAUUGCGAAGGCAGCUUGCUGGGCCUGAUUUGACGCUGAGGCACGAAAGCGUGGGGAGCAAACAGGAUUAGAUACCCUGGUAGUCCACGCCCUAAACGAUGUUUACUUGCUGUUCCUGUCUUGAAUGGGAGUGGCGAAGCGAAAGCGCUAAGUAAACCACCUGGGGAGUACGCCGGCAACGGUGAAACUCAAAUGAAUUGACGG
rnacentral:rRNA from 1 species